AGACGCUACAAGGGUAGCCUAGGGAUUUCACUCCUACUGUUCCUUCAUUAUCCAUCAUCGAUUGAAAUUGAAUGCGAUCUUUUGGUAUUCGCCGUCCCCUCUACCCUAUAACCUGAUUUCCGAUUUUGAAGGAACCCGAACCGAUUUGCAGUGGAAGAAGAACUUGCAACAUGGAGAGAUUCGGAGGCGGUGGUGGUGGUGGUGAUACUCUACAACUUGAUUCGAAUUCAUCAGGGAAGAGGAAGACGGUGUGAAGGUUGUGCGAGUUGAGUUGAGAAUCUAAACAACCCAUACAUAAGUGAUACCAGCCAUGAUAGAUUUAAAUUAACGGCUAAACAAAUUGUACGCUUGGAGCUUAGUAGAAUACGAAAGGGUCAUCAUGCUUGAAUGAAAAUCUUUUUCGUAUUUAUAUAUGGAGAUGUCUUUAAUGUCUGCACUCUGAAAUUAAAGAUGGAACGAGGAACCUCGGAAGGAAAUUGAAGAGUCAAUGACUUUUGCCAAGAGACACUGUAUUUUUCCCGCCUUCCCACUCAAAUCGUAAAAGCGUACUCGACACGUUGUUUAAAAUCCAUCAGAGCUCUAAUAAAUCAUUCCAGUUUGCGUUUUACAAAUCAAUGGAAUAUGUUUUAGAGUGGCGAUUGGUACAAUUUGAUUUCUAAAAUGGAUCAACAUACUUUGCGAUUGAAUUCACAAUUUAAGUGACGAUUGGUAUGUAAGUGUAUUGUGAUUCGGUACAUCACGUACCCACACGUAAACGUAUUACUCUCACAUUGCCUUUUUGAGCAUUUUCUUUUUCCCAUAACUAAUCAAGAUGCUUUUGUUCUAAUGGCUGAAUUUUACACUUCCAGUUCUCUCAUAAACGGCUUGCUUUUUUUCUAUGGAUGUGUUAGUUUCAUAUUUUCUUACUAUCCAGUAUGUGUUUUGAAAAAUACCACAUAUAUGUUUCACUUCUAGGAUGGGAACUCUUGUGUAGUGGUAGAUUAUGUUUAGAUUUUUGGACAACUUGCGACUGUCUUUACUUUUCUUCUUUUUAUGUAAGACCCAUUAGAGAUAACAUGUAUAUUAGUCGUCUUUAGAUAUCUUUCUUUGUUCCUUCUUUUUCAGCAACAGGCCCCAAAACCUAUCAAGGAGAUCAAGAAGUUUGCACAAAAAGCCAUGGGAACCACUAACGUAAGAGUGGAAGUCAGAUUAAACAAAUACGUUUACAGCCGCGGAAUCAGAAAUGUAUCAAACACAUCGAGCUUCGUAUAGUUGAAGGGUUGACUAUAGUUCAGUCUCCACGGUCUUUUAUAGGUCAACAUAGCAGCAGCCUCUAGAGCUUCAGCACAACAUUUAUAUAAGUUUUAAGGCAUCUUCUUUGUUCUCUUAACCUGAAUAUCUAUUAUUAAUCUUAUUGCGAAUUUUGAAUGAUAUUUAAGAAAUAAGAUUGGGCAAAACAAAAUUUGUGAUCAUGUAAACACAAAUAUAGCUUAUUUCAGUCAUCACUUUCUCUUUUUAUAUUCUGAAAAUUUAACACCGUGAUACUCUUUGCUAUAUCUUUAAAACUUACUAAUUCAUAUUACCAUUGUUGCUUUUACAUUUUCAUUUCCUUUCUUUUAGGCUAAGAAGGCAACACUUGAAGACCUAGAAGAGAGGGGAAGAAGAGGUCCGAUAGAUGAUCCGAAGAAGCUCCCAAAGUAGAAUUAUGAUGGGUCUUGUGGGUUUGAGUCAUAUGGUUCUAACCAGGCUGAGUUUAGGUGACAUGGACUGUUUUAGAAAGUGGUCGACUGGUUUGGGUUAGAACGAGUUCGGGUUUGAGUGGGUUCCGGCAAAACUGAAUACGGUUCAAAUCGAAGUAUUUAAAAAAGUGGUCAUUUUGGUUUGGGCAGAACGAUUUUAUAGCGUUGGGCAGGGUAACGGGUCGUAGAAGGUUCGGGUCUCAAUGUGUUCCAACCAAAAUUGAGUACAGGUCAAAAGAUGUUGUUUUAAAUUGGGGUCAUUUGGUAGCUCUGUGCUUAUUAAAUUUUUGCAGACACAAAUGAUAUGGUUGAUAAAGCAAUCAUUUUCUUUA